rnacentral:rRNA from 1 species
AAGCAGUAGCCGCGGGAAUACGUAGGGUGCAAGCGUUAAUCGGAAUUACUGGGCGUAAAGCGUGCGCAGGCGGUUAUAUAAGUCAGAUGUGAAAUCCCCGGGCUCAACCUGGGAACUGCAUUUGAGACUGUAUGGCUAGAGUGUGUCAGAGGGGGGUAGAAUUCCACGUGUAGCAGUGAAAUGCGUAGAUAUGUGGAGGAAUACCGAUGGCGAAGGCAGCCCCCUGGGAUAACACUGACGCUCAUGCACGAAAGCGUGGGGAGCAAACAGGAUUAGAUACCCCGGUAGUCCCUGUCUCUUAUAC